AUUGAACGCUGGCGGCAGGCCUAACACAUGCAAGUCGAGCGGAGCGGCGGACGGGCGAGUAAUGCCUAGGAAUCUGCCUGGCCGUGGGGGAUAACGUCAGGUAACGGGCGCUACUACUGCACACUUUCAGAUGAGUCUAGGCCGGUUUAGCUAGUUGGUUGGGGAAAGGCCUACAAAGGCGACGAUCCGUAACUGGUCUGAGUGGAGGAUCAGUCACACUGGAACUGAGACACGGUCCAGACUCCGACGGGAGGCAGCAGUGGGGAAUAGUGGACAAGGGGGGAAAGCCUGAUCCAGCCAUGCCGAGUGUGUGAAGAAGGCCUUCGGAGUGUAAAGCACUUUUAGUUGGGAGGCGUUACCAACAGAAUAAGCACCGGCUAACUUCGUGCCAGCAGCCGCGGUAAUAC
rnacentral:rRNA from 1 species